GACGAACGCUGGCGGCGUGCCUAAUACAUGCAAGUAGAACGCUGAAGAGAGGAGCUUGCUCUUCUUGGAUGAGUUGCGAACGGGUGAGUAACGCGUAGGUAACCUGCCUUGUAGCGGGGGAUAACUAUUGGAAACGAUAGCUAAUACCGCAUAACAAUGAAUGACUCAUGUCAUUUAUUUGAAAGGGGCAAUUGCUCCACUACAAGAUGGACCUGCGUUGUAUUAGCUAGUAGGUGAGGUAACGGCUCACCUAGGCGACGAUACAUAGCCGACCUGAGAGGGUGAUCGGCCACACUGGGACUGAGACACGGCCCAGACUCCUACGGGAGGCAGCAGUAGGGAGUCUUCGGCAAUGGGGGCAACCCUGACCGAGCAACGCCGCGUGAGUGAAGAAGGUUUUCGGAUCGUAAAGCUCUGUUGUAAGUCAAGAACGAGUGUGAGAGUGGAAAAUUCACACUGUGACGGUAGCUU
rnacentral:rRNA from 1 species